GAUUAAGGGCGCGCGGUGGAUGCCUAGGCUCUCGGAGGCGAAGAAGGACGCGAUAAGCCGCGAUAGUCCACGGCGAGGUGCAAGUAACCCUUGACCCGUGGGUUUCCGAAUGGGGCAACCCGGCCGUCUAGAUGACGGUCAUGCAUUAUCAUGCAGGCGAACGCGGGGAACUGAAACAUCUCAUUACCCGCAGGAGAAGAAAACAAAAUGUGAUUCCCCCAGUAGUGGCGAGCGAACGGGGAAGAGCCCAAACCGCUGCCGUUUCGGCGACAGCGGGGUCAUGGGACCGCGAGAUUCGACGGAAGACGAAGUGCAAUUACCUGGAAAGGUAAGCCGUGGAGGGUGACAGCCCCGUGCACGACACCUCUUUCUUAGAUAGCGGUAUCCCGAGUAGGGCGGGACACGAGAAAUCCUGCCUGAAUUCGCCAGGACCUCCUGGCAAGGCUAAAUACUCCCGAGAGACCGAUAGUGAACCAGUACCGCGAGGGAAAGGUGAAAAGUACCCCGAGCAGGGGGGUGAAAUAGACCCUGAACCCGCGCGCCUACAAGCGGUCGGAGCCACGCGAUGUGGUGACGGCGUGCCUUUUGCAUAAUGAGCCUACGAGUUAGUCGUCACCAGCGAGGUUAAGGGCUUCAGGCCCGUCAGCCGAAGUGAAAGCGAGCCUUAACAGGGCGUGAAGUUGGUGGCGCUAGACGCGAAACCUUGUGAUCUACCCACGAGCAGGUUGAAGUCGCGGUAACACGUGAUGGAGGACCGAACCGGUAAACGUUGAAAAGUUUUCGGAUGACUCGCGGGUAGGGGUGAAAGGCCAAUCAAACUGGGAAAUAGCUCGUACUCUCCGAAAUGCAUUUCGGUGCAGCCUGUGAUGUUCUGUUCCAGAGGUAGAGCUACUGGUUGGACGCGAGGGCUUCACCGCCUAUCAAAUCCGGAUAAACUCCGAAUGCUGGAACACGAAAUCAUGGAGUGAGCCCGCGGGUGCUAAGGUCCGCGGACGAGAGGGAAAGAACCCGGACCACCGGCUAAGGUCCCGGAUGGACAGUUAAGUUGAUCAAACGAGGUGGGAUCGCGGAGACAGCUAGGAUGUUGGCUUGGAAGCAGCCAUUCAUUUAAAGAGUGCGUAACAGCUCACUAGUCGAGCGAUCCCGCGUGGAUAAUACACGGGCAUCAAACUGUCAACCGAAGCCGUGGGGUUAGUGAUGAGCUAACCGGUAGGAGAGCAUUCCUGCCAGCUUUGAAGGUCACCCGCGAGAGUGACUGGAGCGGCAUGAAAAGCAAAUGUAGGCAUAAGUAACGAUAAUGGGGGCGAGAACCCCCCACGCCGCAAGACCAAGGAUUCCCCGGCAAUGUCAAUCAGCCGGGGGUCAGCCGGCCUCUAAGGCUAACCCGAAGGGGGAUGCCGACGAGAAACGGGUUAACAUUCCCGUGCUUCUCGUCACCGUGACGCGGUGACGGGGUGAUGAAUGGACCGCGCGCAGACGGAAUAGCGCGUUGAAGGCCGUACCCUUUGAGGGUGGUAGUCAAGCACGCCACCGGAGGCGACAGCCGAUAGUACCUCGAGGCCUCGGCCGAGGGGAUAGCGUCCAGGCAAUUAACCCCCUAGAAAACCCGCUAAACUUCAAGUGACGAGGAACCGUACCGUAAACGGACACACGUGGUCGGGUAGAACAUACCAAGGCGCUCGAGUGAUUCAUGGUCAAGGAACUAGGCAAAAUAGUCCUGUAACUUAGGGAUAAAGGACGCUCUAGUGAUAGAGCCGCAGAGAAAUGGCCCAGGCGACUGUUUACCAAAAACACAUGGCUAUGCCAAAUCGAAAGAUGACGUAUAUGGCCUGACACCUGCCCGGUGCCGGAAGGUUAAGAGGAGAGCUCAUCAGUAAUGAGAAGGUUUGAAUUGAAGCCCCGGUAAACGGCGGCCGUAACUAUAACGGUCCUAAGGUAGCGAAAUUCCUUGUCGGGUAAGUUC
rnacentral:rRNA from 1 species